rnacentral:tRNA from 1 species
GGCCUCGUAGCUCAGCUGGUAGAGCGUGCGUUGUAGAAAAGCGUUGGCAGCGUCCAAGCGUGAGCUCGAAUCCUGCCGAGGCUA